rnacentral:rRNA from 1 species
GACGAACGCUGGCGGCGUGCCUAAUACAUGCAAGUCGAACGCUGAAGGUGGAGCUUGCUUCUCUGCAUGAGUUGCGAACGGGUGAGUAACGCGUAGUUAACCUGCCUGGAAGCGGGGGAUAACUAUUGGAAACGAUAGCUAAUACCGCAUAAGAGUAGAUGACGCAUGACAUUUGCUUAUAAGUUGCAAUUGCAUCACUUCCCGAUGGUCCUGCGUUGUAUUAGCUAGUUGGUGAGGUAACGGCUCACCAAGGCAACGAUACAUAGCCGACCUGAGAGGGUGAUCGGCCACACUGGGACUGAGACACGGCCCAGACUCCUACGGGAGGCAGCAGUAGGGAAUCUUCGGCAAUGGACGGAUGUCUGACCGAGCAACGCCGCGUGAGUGAAGAAGGUUUUCGGAUCGUAAAGCUCUGUUGUAAGAGAAGAACGAGUGUGAGAGUGGAAAGUUCACACUGUGACGGUAUCUUACCAGAAAGGGACGGCUAACUACGUG